AUUGAACGCUGGCGGCAUGCCUUACACAUGCAAGUCGAACGGCAGCGGACCUUCGGGUGCCGGCGAGUGGCGAACGGGUGAGUAAUAUAUCGGAACGUACCUUUCAGUGGGGGAUAACGUAGCGAAAGUUACGCUAAUACCGCAUAUUCUGUGAGCAGGAAAGCAGGGGAACGUAAGACCUUGCGCUGAUUGAGCGGCCGAUAUCAGAUUAGCUAGUUGGUGAGGUAAAGGCUCACCAAGGCGACGAUCUGUAGCGGGUCUGAGAGGAUGAUCCGCCACACUGGAACUGAGACACGGUCCAGACUCCUACGGGAGGCAGCAGUGGGGAAUUUUGGACAAUGGGCGCAAGCCUGAUCCAGCCAUGCCGCGUGAGUGAAGAAGGCC
rnacentral:rRNA from 1 species